AUUCCAGGCAGGGGAAUGGCCAGUGCAAACAAUAUAGAGAACAGAAGUUUGUAUAGUGUGCAGGAAUGAGAAGGAGGCUGAUGUGGCUGGAAUGGGAAAGCCAAAGGUCAAGUAGUUAGAUGAGGGGCUGGGCAGAUAGUGACAUUAUGAUUUAAUUUUAGAAAGAUCUCUGUCUGCUCUCCAGAAUAGACUUAUAUGUUACUGUGUAAAGGGUAGAAGCCAGGAGACAAGCUGCUAUUUUUUUAAUCCACACAAGAUGUGAUGAUGGCCAAGACUAGAAUUGUUGAAGUGGAGGUGGUGAAAAGUGGUCAGAUCCUGAAAUAUGACAGAAAAAGGAGUCAAAGAUGACAUCAAGAUAUUUGUUCUCAGCAACUGGAAAGAUAAAGUUGCCAUUGGCUGAGAUGGGGAGGAAGGUAUAGAUAAAGUAAGAGUUCAGUCUGGGGCUUUGUCAAGGCAAAUAAAUGUUAGGUUAUUGCUGGCUUGACAUAAUUUUCUUCUGGAGAUCAUGUCUUAAAAGUAGACUGCUGUAAGCCAUUUUCUUUAAUGACCAUGUCCUAUAUUCUGGAUACAUGUGUAUGCUUGUCUUUUGCUAGUUAGUUACUAGUGGAAACUAGUGAAUAGGUAAAAGCAACAUGAAAUAUAG
rnacentral:lncRNA from 1 species